AUUGAACGCUGGCGGCAGGCCUAACACAUGCAAGUCGAACGAGUGGCGGACGGGUGAGUAAUGUCUGGGAAACUGCCUGAUGGAGGGGGAUAACUACUGGAAACGGUAGCUAAUACCGCAUACCAUCGGAUGUGCCCAGAUGGGCUUAGCUAGUAGGUGGGGUAAAGGCUCACCUAGGCGACGAUCCCUAGCUGGUCUGAGAGGAUGACCCGCAACACUGGAACUUGGACACGGUCCAGACGCCUAAGGGAGGCAGCAGUGGGGAAUAUUGCACAAGGGGCGCAAGCCUGAUGCAGCCAUGCGGCGUGUGUGAAGAAGGCCUUCGGGUUGUAAAGCACUUUAAGCGAGGAGGCGUUACUCGCAGAAGAAGCACCGGCUAACUCCGUGCCAGCAGCCGCGGUAAUUC
rnacentral:rRNA from 1 species